rnacentral:lncRNA from 14 species
CUUGUUGUGAUGGGUUAGUUUCCACCCUAAGGUUUCUUUGGGUUGUUUAUAAUGUGCUGGAGUUUGCAUUUAUUCCCUUUUGAUUUGCCCAUGUACUUUUAUCCAGGGUCAUCCUGACUGGAGGUAAAUGCUUCAUACCUGUUGUAGAUAGUCAAGAGUUGCCUUUUUAUGGUGGGGAUUGUAAGCAAGUUUGUUGAAAUGUCUGAUUAGUUUUGAAUAGUCUGCCAAGGCUCUGGUGGUCUCUUGAUUCAUCUGUGUCUGACCCUACUUAGAUACAAAUCAUUACAGGAUGAAUAGGUACAGGUCACUGCCCACAUAAAUGAAAGCACACCUGGACCUGGCCUUGGGAAUGAAUCAAAAGGUGUAGCAGAAGACAAACAUGACGGAAUUCUUGAUCAGUGCCCUUGUAAGUGUGCUGGGCUGUGGUGUUGCAAGUGAUACUGCUGCUGAAUCCAGGAGUGAUUUGUAUUCCCCCCACCGCCCACUCCUGCCGUGGGAUGCUGCACAGUGCCAUAGUAGAGGCCCAAGGUAACAGGAUAAAAACCCAGGAAAUAGAGGUCAGUAGCAUCACCUAUGGCAUAGUGUCCAGCUGGGCCUGGGCCUGCUGCACACACUGUGACUCAUCAGACAUGAACAAUACCCAAGAAACUACUACAAGAUCCUGCAGAGACUGGAGGAGGAAGCUGAUCUGCACAUAAAAAAGCUGCAGCCCAUGUGAAGAGGGGAAUUAUUAGCUAAAAGAUAGCCAUCAGAUAUCAGAAGAUAAACAAAAGGUGGAUCUGAACCUUGAAAUGGUCAGCUCAGCUCAGCAAGAGCUUGCAAAGGCAGAAUGGUGAAAGGAAGGUUUCCUGGAGAACUCCCAGAAGAUUGAAAUGGAUUAUACAAUUCUGGAAGGGGACAAGAAACAGGCAAUGCAAAGGUGCUAAACGUAAACAGUUGUAACAAAACACUGGUCAAGGAGCACUCUACCUCCAACACCCUGCAAAACAUGAAAGAUGUUCUGUAUUGAGACCACUGUGUCAGUUGAGCUAAUCAGAAGUGUUUCCUGGACAGUAUUCAGGGUCAUCUGGAGGAGCACUCCUUGUAUGACCCACUUUGUUUUUAACGUCAUUAUGUUUCAUUGAAAAAAUUUCACCAUCAGUUAAGUCAGUAAAUAAAUC